rnacentral:rRNA from 1 species
UACGUAGGUGGCAAGCGUUACUCGGAAUCACUAGGCGUAAAGCGCAGGUAGGCGGUUGGAUAAGUUUCUUGUGAAAGCUCCCGGCUUAACUGGGAGAGGCCAAGGAAUACUAUUCGACUAGAGUGUGGUAGGGGUAACUGGAAUUCCCGGUGUAGCGGUGAAAUGCGUAGAUAUCGGGAGGAAUACCUAUGGCGAAGGCGGCUAUCUGGACAGAGUCUGACGCUGAGGCGCGAAAGCUAGGGGAGCAAACAGG